rnacentral:rRNA from 1 species
UCCGUAGGUGAACCUGCGGACGGAUCAUUACCGAGUGAGGGCCCUCUGGGUCCAACCUCCCACCCGUGUUUAUUUUACCUUGUUGCUUCGGCGGGCCCGCCUUAACUGGCCGCCGGGGGGCUUACGCCCCCGGGCCCGCGCCCGCCGAAGACACCCUCGAACUCUGUCUGAAGAUUGUAGUCUGAGUGAAAAUAUAAAUUAUUUAAAACUUUCAACAACGGAUCUCUUGGUUCCGGCAUCGAUGAAGAACGCAGCGAAAUGCGAUACGUAAUGUGAAUUGCAAAUUCAGUGAAUCAUCGAGUCUUUGAACGCACAUUGCGCCCCCUGGUAUUCCGGGGGGCAUGCCUGUCCGAGCGUCAUUUCUGCCCUCAAGCACGGCUUGUGUGUUGGGCCCCGUCCUCCGAUCCCGGGGGACGGGCCCGAAAGGCAGCGGCGGCACCGCGUCCGGUCCUCGAGCGUAUGGGGCUUUGUCACCCGCUCUGUAGGCCCGGCCGGCGCUUGCCGAUCAACCCAAAUUUUUAUCCAGGUUGACCUCGGAUCAGGUAGGGAUACCCGCUGAACUUAAGCAUAUCAAUAAGCGGAGGA